rnacentral:rRNA from 1 species
CAGGCCUAACACAUGCAAGUCGAACGGAAAGGCCCUGCUUUUGUGGGGUGCUCGAGUGGCGAACGGGUGAGUAACACGUGAGUAACCUGCCCUUGACUUUGGGAUAACUUCAGGAAACUGGGGCUAAUACCGGAUAGGAGCUCCUGCUGCAUGGUGGGGGUUGGAAAGUUUCGGCGGUUGGGGAUGGACUCGCGGCUUAUCAGCUUGUUGGUGGGGUAGUGGCUUACCAAGGCUUUGACGGGUAGCCGGCCUGAGAGGGUGACCGGCCACAUUGGGACUGAGAUACGGCCCAGACUCCUACGGGAGGCAGCAGUGGGGAAUAUUGCACAAUGGGCGGAAGCCUGAUGCAGCAACGCCGCGUGCGGGAUGACGGCCUUCGGGUUGUAAAGCUCUUUCGCACGCGACGAUGAUGACGGUAGCGUGAGAAGAAGCCCCGGCUAACUUCGUGCCAGCAGCCGCGGUAAU